UCCCGAGACAUGGGGAGAGGAGACCACGCUUUUUUGGAUAAGGGCUUCUGGCUCGUUUACCAACCCAGGCAUUCCCGGUUCUACACCCGCCCUUCGCUACUGAAGCGCGGCCUCUGGCUGGCCAGGACCGCGGUGUGUUUAGGACUCCGGACCACAGCAGUGGGGGCACGCAUGCGCACACCGCAGCUUAGCGGACUCCCAGAAUCCAGCGCGGCACGAGCAAGGAGACGGGCUGUGAAGCAGAACUUCCGGUCGGCCCGGAAGCUGGGAGACCUUGGUCGGGUGCUUGGUCUCCUCUCGAUCCUUGGUGGUGUUCUCACCACCCCGCGUGUUGCCGGGACAGGGAUCAGUGACAUUCAAAGAUGUGGUCAUUGGCUUCUCCAAGGAAGAAUGGGGAUUACUGAACCCUGCUCAAAGAGAUUUGUACAUUACAGUGAUGUUGGAGAAUUAUCAGAAUUUGGUUUGGGUGGGGUCUUUCCCAGUGUGAAUUCUAUGAUGUUGAGGAAGAUCAGAACAGUGGUGGAAAGCCUUCGCAUAUUGCUUGCAUUCAUAAGGCUUCACGGAGACAGUUCCAGAAUUGGCCUGGUAACUCUGGGUCAGCUUCUCCGAGGUCCUCGGUUUUCUCCUUUUGGUUCCAACAUGGCUACAGCAGUUCCAGGCAUUAUGUUCUCAUAGGAGAAUGUUUAAAAGCAGAUGAGAGGAGAUGAUGGAGUCUUCCUGAUAGAUCUGUCUCUUCUGAAUGAGGAAAAUCUGUCCCAGAAGCCCCUACAGAUCCCUGGAACAUACUGGCCUUACCCUGGAACAUGAGAGCCAUCCUGAGCUGCAGAAAACGCUGAAAAGUUAGCAUCUGGUAUCUUCAGAGUCUAAGGCAAGACACAGAUGCUGCCAGUAGGAAGGGGAUCGGGUAUGGCCACUAUGUAGGCAACCGGCCCCUUCUGUUUGUGACAAAAGUGAUGAAAGAUAAAGAAGAAGAAGAAGGUAGCGGGAGGGGAGGAAUGAA